GGGAAGCAAACACAAUCUCCACUCAAGGAUCAAUACACCACCACUUGCUAUACAAAUCCACUUUGCUAGCUCUCCUUGCAGUUCCAACCGCAAUGGCUGCCACAAGAACCAGUCUUCUCGCCCUGGCUGCGAUGGCCGUCGUCAUAAGCACCGCGUCCGCGGCGAUCUACAACGUCGGCGAGCCCGGCGGAGCUUGGGACCUCGGCACCAACUACGACGCAUGGGCGUCCUCCAGGAACUUCCAUGCCGACGACCAGAUCAUGUUCAAGUACUCCCCUCAGGCGCACAACCUCCUCCAAGUCAGCAAAGCAGACUACGACUCCUGCAACACCGCCAGCCCCCUCGCCACCUAUACCUCUGGGAAUGUUAUUGUCACCCUCUCCAACAACAGCACCCGCUACUUCAUCNUUGAUUUUAUAUUAUGAAUGUUGAUAAUGUGUUUCUAUAAGUUUGUCAAAAUGCUUUCACUUCACAAAAAAGUUAUAUACGGACUAAAAAGGACCGGAGGGAGUAAUAGAGUAGUAAUAAUGACUAGUUUGGCUCUUACUACCUCCGUCCUGGUAUAUUAGUCCUCCUGGUAGUUUGGGUUAAACUUUGAACUUUGAUUUAACUAAUAAAAUAUAAGUCACAUACCCUAAAAAUAAUAUGAAUGGAAACUUCUUUCAAAUAUGAAUCCAACAAUUAAAAUUUUGUGACAUACAACUUCUAAUUUGUUAGUCAAAUCUACUGUCAAAGUUGUGCAUAAAAUACGAAGGGGAUCAAUAAACCCGGAUGGAGGUAGUAUUAAAUUAGGUAUAUGGUAUAACAUUAUAGUCAUUAAAUGUAUCAUUUGUACUUGAUAUUGCAUUAGUACAUAUAACUAAAUCAUUCCAAGAACAAAAAUUUAGGGCCUUAAUUAUUAAUACGUUGAGUCCAUAGAUAAAAAAAUGCUUUCGACACUUGGAUCUACAUCAGAAGGUACGUGGAUCGUGAUAGUCUACGUGGAAUGCGUGAAAAGGUCAGCAGGCCAACAUUACAGCCCGGUCUUCACAUGAUCGGUCUAUUAUGACCAAAUACGUACCAGCCACAUGCCUAGCUUGCUUGUGUUUUCAUCUACUUUCUUCGUUUCUAAAUAUAAAUUUCUCCAGCAUUCAAAGUCCAAAAUCCAUUCUCCGCGUCCACCAACCGCACACGUUUCUCCAACCCACCCAGGAGUAUAUAUAUAGGACCCGACACAGCCACCUAGGGAAGCAAACACAAUCUCCACUCAAGGAUCAAUACACCACCACUUGCUAUACAAAUCCACUUUGCUAGCUCUCCUUGCAGUUCCAACCGCAAUGGCUGCCACAAGAACCAGUCUUCUCGCCCUGGCUGCGAUGGCCGUCGUCAUAAGCACCGCGUCCGCGGCGAUCUACAACGUCGGCGAGCCCGGCGGAGCUUGGGACCUCGGCACCAACUACGACGCAUGGGCGUCCUCCAGGAACUUCCAUGCCGACGACCAGAUCAUGUUCAAGUACUCCCCUCAGGCGCACAACCUCCUCCAAGUCAGCAAAGCAGACUACGACUCCUGCAACACCGCCAGCCCCCUCGCCACCUAUACCUCUGGGAAUGUUAUUGUCACCCUCUCCAACAACAGCACCCGCUACUUCAUCUGCGGUUUCCCUGGUCAUUGCGCGGGCGGUAUGAAGGUUAAGAUUAUUGUCACCUCUACGUCACCCGCCCCGGCCAGCGGCCCAAGUGCAAGCAACGCUCCCCCGGCGACACCUGCUUCCGCUGCCACCAAUGUGAAGGUGACGGGGUUCGGUCUCGCCGUUUUGCUUGCCGUUGCCGGCCUCAUGGCUUGAGUGCAUCUCUAUAUAGUCGCAGGCACAUGUGUAUUUUAUGUACAUAUUCAAGUAAUUAUUACUAGCAAC
rnacentral:lncRNA from 1 species